rnacentral:lncRNA from 1 species
GUCUGAGAGGAGGUACAAGUCAGGGAAGGCUCUGCCCUGUUCCCCCAGACCCUCCUUCCUUCUGAGGAGUCUUUUCUGGUGUCUCCUGGGGUCCUUCUUUUCCACUUUGGAUCAUAUCUGAAUGCUUCUGGCCUGAAGUAAGGAUGACUGGGCCUUCCUUUGUCCUUGGCCCAGGCCAUCCCUGCCACUGGACAAUGAAACAUCAGUCGUUCUACUGCAGACCCGGAGUCAAGGCUGGAAACGAUUCCCAUGAAGAAGUCAAGAAGUCUCUGGGCUACUUACCCUUCAACUCCAUGUGUUACUAGUGAUGGCCGAGGCUCGCUCAGGAGGGGUGCUCUCACCU